GGCUUAUUGAUAAUAAUUUUAGGUCAGGCCUGCUCAAUGAUUUUUUAAAUAGCUGCGGUAUAUUGACCGUACAAAGGUAGCAUAAUCAUUUGUUUUUUAAUUGAAAGCUUGAAUGAAAGGUUAAAUGAAAAAAUUACUGUCUCUAUUAUAAUUUUUUAUAAUUUUAUUUUUAAGUUAAAAAGCUUAUAUAUAUAUGGAAGACGAGAAGACCCUAUAGAAUUUUAUAGUUUUAAAUAAUAAUUAAAUAAGAAAAUAAUUUUAUUAAAGUUAUUUUAUUGGGGUGAUAGAAAAAUUUAAUUAACUUUUUUUUUAAAAAUUCAUUUAUAUAUGAAUAUUUGAUCCUUUUUGAGAUUAUAAGAUGAAAUUUCCUUAGGGAUAACAGCAUAAUUUUUUUUAGAGUUCUUAUCGAAAAAAAAGAUUGUGACCUCGAUGUUGGAUUAAAAUUUAUAAUUGGUGCAGAAAUUGAUUUAUAAUGGUCUGUUCGACCUUAAAAUUUUACAUGAUCUGAGUUUAAACCGGUGUGAA
rnacentral:rRNA from 1 species